UCAAUUGGCAGGCUUAAGCUCAAUCAAAAAACGUAUGAUUACACAAUGAACGAAUAAAUUUGAUCUGCGAUAUCUGAAUACAAAUGCAAAACAUAGAUCUGAGACUACUAAUAACUAGUACACAUAGUAGUUUCAGCACAGAUCAAGGUAAAAUUUGACCUGCAUCACUGUUACUGUUCUUGAGUAACCUGUAUUUAUGCUCCUUUAUCAUGUUUAUUAUUAAAUGGAAAAUUGCCAAAUCUAUGGUUGAUCCCACAAACUUUUGUAUACAGAUUAUAUUUAUUUAGAUAUGAUUUACAAACUUCAGAAAAGGUUGAGAAGCAUUUUUAUUCUAGGGAAUAUCAACCUGAAGCAAGUUGUACCAAUGGAAAUGACAGAAGACCCAGUAAGAACACUGCAUAAGUGGGAUUGCAACUUCACCAUCUGAUACAGCAUCUAGUUCAUCAAAGAUGACCUAUGCUGAAGUGGUGAGACUUCUUGUGCAUGCAAAAGGAGACAAAACUAAGAUCACCCAUAAUAUUAAGAGAUGGGUUUAAGCUGACAGAAGUAACAGAAUAAAUGUCUCAGUAAUUUCUAACAAUGGAGUUGAAAGCAAAAUAAAACACUAAAAUAUGAAUACUUACAACUAAGGAAAUCCUCACCUUGAGCUAUUUGCUUUUGGUGAUGGAUAUUAUUGCCAGGUUGAUCAAGACUUCAAGUGCCGAUACUAGUGUCAAAGAGUGAAGGACAAGAAUAAUUUUUAAGAACAGAGAAGACUUAAUUGUUUUAUUGUACUUAGUUUUUAGUUUUUGUUAAUGUUUUACCACUAUGAUGGUUAUAGAGUAAUGUAAAAUUCUGGAAAUGUAUUUUUUUAUAUAUCUGUUUUGUAAUUACUCCUUUUAAGAUAUGUUAUAGAUGUUGUUGUUUUUUUUAUACCUGUUCCUACUUGAGUACCAAGGACAACUUUUUGAAGUUUUUAGUAAGGUUCCUUUCUUUGUUUUUUUUUUAUUACAUAAGAUUCAGAUGUCAUUCUUGUAUAACUCAGACAUGCAUAUAUGUUUUUGACUUCUUGUUAUGUGUAGUAUUAAUCCCUCCCCACAUUAUAUUUACUUUUGAAAAAAAAUACCAUUAGGACUGUCUACCAUGGAUGCCUCUAUAAAUAAAAAUAAUAUUGGCAUACAUAAUACUCAAAAUUAGGAAGACUUCAUACAAAAAAAAUUUGAAAGUGUCACAUCAAUGAUUCUUUUUGUAUAAUUUAGGUUAGUUUUUAAUCUCACUUUUCAUUUGGGAUUUUCGUUGUUGCAUAGUGAAUACAUUUAUCAUCAUUUUAAGUAUACCUCACAAUGUGAUUUUUAAAUGUUGUAAAUACAG